rnacentral:lncRNA from 1 species
GUGAUUUGCAGAUACAAUGUUAUCAAGUGUGUUGGAUUAGCCUAUGAACUGAAGUACUUAUGUUGUAGAAGGAUGUCUGAUUUGCAUGUUGGAGAUCAAUGGAGGAAAUUCUCAUAACUAUGAAGGCUUAGAGGUCGAGGAUCUCUACUACAACGAAUAUAAUUGUCCCGUGAAAAUGAGGACGGUAUGGAGGAUAACACUGAAAAAGGUUGCUAGCCUUUCUGCCCCAAAGUAACAAAAUAUGAAUUUUUAGGUAAGAAAAUAUCAUACUUUCACUUUCAAUGUCUGGGGUAUUCAAUUAUGCUUUUAGAGAGGCUGAUAUUGUCAUGUAAUUGCCCAAAUCUUUGUAACUAAGCAUGUUGUCCACUGUUGGAUAUGUCCUGUUUCCCUUGAUAUUUGAUUUGAUAACAUGUUCUAUUUCUAUUAAAUACUUGAAAGUAUAAUUGUCUAGUUACACACUGCACUGCCCAAAUUGUUGAAUGUGUGAUCUAAAUAAGUUUAAUCUUUUCUGCCAAUGAUUGAAAAGAAAGUGCUUAUUGAUUCUACAAGUGAUAACAUUGACAUAGGAUUUAUAUUCAUGGUAGUUUGUUAACCUUUUAGAUUUAUUAUGAGACAAUUGGCCCUGAGAUUGAGACUGUGGUGGGAACAUUGUUGUUUUGUUUGCAGGAUAAUAAUUUUGGGGGUAAAAGAAUAACAGAUGCAAGGAACUUUGUCAAUGAGAUAAAAUCAUAUAUCAAAGGUUUUUUAUUUGUUUCUACUCAUGUUUUAGGUUGUAAGUGAAUGUAGAAACAAGUUUUAAUUUUUAUUUUUGCCAGUUCUGGAUAUGGACGAAAGGCAUCUGAUCUUACCACUAUGUAUGUGUCUUUUUGGCUUUUGGUCUUCUAUUGCUAUUUUACUAUUGC